rnacentral:rRNA from 1 species
GAUGAACGCUGGCGGCGUGCCUAAUACAUGCAAGUCGAGCGAACAGACGAUGAUCUUGCUCCUCUGAUGUUAGCGGCUGACGGGUGAGUAACACGUGGAUAACCUACCUAUAAGACUGGGAUAACUUCGGGAAACCGGAUCUAAUACCGUAUAACAUGUUGAACCGCAUGGUUCAACAGUUUAAGACGGUCUUGCUGUCUCUUAUAGAUGUUUCCGCGCCGCAUUAGCUAGUUGGUAAGGUAACGGCUUACCAAGGCAACGAUGCGUAGCCGACGUGAGAGGGGGAGCGGCCACACUGGAACUGAGACACGGACCAGAGUCCGACGGGAGGAAGCAGUAGGGAAUAUUACGAAAUGGGCGAAAGCAUGACGGAGCAACGCCGAGUGAGUGAAGAAGGUCUUCGGAUCGUAAAACUCUGUUAUUAGGGAAGAAAAAAUGUGUAAGUAAAUAUGCACGUCUUGACGGUAACUAAUCAGAAAGCAACGGCUAACUACGUG